AAUCCGUAGUGUGGACAUUUUCGAAAUAAAUCUCUAAACGUUUUCCAUACUUCAUAUAAUGACUCACCAUCCAAUUGACUAAAACUAGUAAUAUCCAUUCUAAAUUU